rnacentral:lncRNA from 1 species
GCACCCACAUCUUAGCAUUAGUGUCUCCACACAAGUGAUUGUGAGAUCAAUCACCCUCUGCAUCGAACAUACAUAAGAUGUGCCAGUCUUUCCGGUAAACAUUGAUCCCCGACUCAAUGUACCAAUGACUGGGAAUAUUUAAGAUUAGGGUUUUAGAAUUUUAGGUCUCACUAGUAUGAUCUCAUCAUAGCCUCAAAAUCAUUGCCUUAAUCUAAGGGGUUCAUCACAAAUAUAAUCAACAGCAUAUGAUGAAACACAAUGCCUUUAUUUAUAUUAAAUGUCAUGUACAUGAUUUGGAAAAUCAAAAGAAAAUCCUUCACAAUACAUAUUGCGAUUGGCUUGUAGGGCAUCUACUCUUUCAUAUAAAACAUCACAAUCAUGGUGCGAGAGAGGUUCAAGCUAAUUUACCAAUUGAGGAAGCAACUUGGGAGCCUUAUUGUUCUCUUGAAGAGAAAUUUUGAAAAUUUAUUGCAGCUCAACCUUGAGGAGAAGAUAGUUUUGAAGGGUAAAGAAGUGACAUGUUUUCUAUUCUAAGGGCCUGUUUGGGAAAUCCAG